UGCAUUCGAAUAAGGAUGUGUUGGCCGGAUGUUAGGACAUUUAAGCUGAAUAUUUGAUUUGAAGUUCCAAAUCUUCAGGCUUAUUACACCACCAGGGACGCCACUUUUCCCAUCCAUGGAGAUGGAGGGCCAGAGCGCUAUGAUGAAUCAGCUUGGGAUGAAUGCUCGUCCCACUCUGUUGAAGUCGAUGGUGGGGGACUGUGUAGUUUGAGCUCUGUUUUGCUCCGUCGUUAGCUUUUGAAUUUUAUUGUAACAUCAUUUGUUUCUGCAGCUAACUAAUAUCCAGCAAGAGGCUCCGAGGAUUAAUGGAGCAACUAAAACAAAGAUUAUUGCUUUGCCAUCUGCAUUGAAUUCGUCCAGUGCUGGUAACAGGAGAUCUUCAUUUUCUGGAGGACUAAAAUCUGCUUCUAGACCUUCAACACCAACAUUGCAACCCACUUUACCCUCAGCUAAGCCUGCACGAUCUUCUACCCCUACAGGACGCCCC
rnacentral:lncRNA from 1 species